GUCAACGAUCUUUAUAAAGUUGUUUGAAGCGUCUAUGAUAAACAGAGAGCAAAUUAGAAUCCAAGGAAGUUGACAUGUCAUCACUUCAUUUUUUUGCGCCUGCGCAUAAAUCUGAGAAACAAACCACAUUUGUUACGGACCUGUGAUGCCUUCCGGACCUGGGAUGCCAGUCUUCUGAUGGAGAUAAUCAAAGGUACUUCAGACGUUUUUGGAAUUUUUGCUGCGUCGCAAGGUCUUAUGGGAUGGCCUCCCCGGCGAACAGAAAGAAAAAGAAUGCUCCCAUGCGUGCUUUGUUUUCCAGACCUCCCAAAUACGCUCAUAGAACUUACGGUGAACUUAGUACGUACACAUUCUUAUGUUUGGAAUCGCACUUGAAAAUGACAAUUGACUUCCGUACUUGAUAUACACUCUGGAUAGAACACAAGUAGGCAUUUUGAAGCCCAGAUGUACAGUACCAGUCAAAAGUGAGGACACACCUACUCAUUCAAUGCUUUUUCAUUAUUUUUACUAUUUUCUACAUUGUAAAAUAACACAUAUGGAAUCAUGUAGUAACCAAAAAAGUGUUAAACAAAUCAAAUUUUAUUUAUAUUUGAGAUUCUUCAAAGUAGCCACACUUUGCCUUGAUGACAGCUUUCCACACUCUUGGCAUUCUCUCAACCAGCUUCACCUGGAAUGCUUUUCCAACAGUCUUGAAGGAGUUCCCACAUAUGCUGAGCACUUGUUGGCUGCUUUUCUUUCACUCUGCGGUCCAACUCAUCCCAAACCAUCUCAAUUGGGUUGGGGUGAUUGUGGAGGCCAGGUCAUCUGAUGCAGCACUUCAUGACUCUCUUUCUUGGUCAAAUAGCCCUUACACAGCCUGGAGGUGUGUUUGGUUAUUGUCCUGCUGAAAAACAAAUGAUAGUAACACUAAGCACAAACCAGAUGGGAUGGCAUAUCGCUGCAGAAUGAUGUGGUAGCCAUGCUGGUUAAAUAUGUCUUGAAAUCUAAAUAAAUCGCAGAGUGUCACCAGCAAAGCACCCCCACACCAUCACACCUCCUCCUCCAUGCUUCACAGUGGAAACCACAUGCGGAGAUCAUCCGUUCACCUACUCUGCGUCUCACAAAGACAUGUCGGAUGGAACCAAAAAUCUCAAAUUUGGACUCGUCAGACCAAAGGACAGAUUUCCACCGGUCUAAUGUCUAUUGCUCAUGUUUCUUGGCCGAAGUCUCUUCUUCCUAUUGGUGUCCUUUAGUCGUGGUUUUUUUGCAGAAAUUCGACCAUGAAUGCCUGAUUCAUGCAGUCUCUCCUGAACAGUUGAUGAUGAGAUGUGUCUGUUACUUGAAUUUAUUUGGGCUGCAAUCUGAGGUGCAGUUAACUCUAAUGAGGUAACUCUGGGUCUUCCUUUCCUUUGGCGGUCUUCAUGAGAGACAGUUCAUCAUAGCACUUGAUGGUUUUUGCGACUGCACUUGAAGAAACAUUCAAAGUUCUUGACAUUUUCCAGAUUGACUGACCUUCAUGUCUUAAAGUAAUGAUGGACUGUUGUUUCUCUUUGUUUAUUUGAGCUGUUCUUGCCAUAGUAUGGACUUGGUCUUUUACCAAAUAGGGCUAUCUUCUGUAUGCCACCCCUACCUUGUCACAACACAACUGAUUGGCUCAAACGCAUUAACCUGUUAUGGCUAGGGGGCAGUAUUUUCACGGCUGGAUAAAAAACGUACCCGAUUUAAUUUGGUUACUACUCCUGCCCAGUAACUAGAAUAUGCAUAUAAUUAUUGGCUUUGGAUAGAAACACUCCAAAGUUUCUAAAACUGUUUGAAUGGUGUCUGUGAGUAUAACAGAACUCAAAUGGCAGGUCAAAACCUGAGAGAUUCCUUUACAGGAAGUGGCCUGUCUGACCAUUUCUUGAACUUCUUUGCCAUCUCUAUCUUUUACAAAGGAUCUCUGCUCUAACGUGAC
rnacentral:lncRNA from 1 species